rnacentral:rRNA from 1 species
UACGUAGGGUGCGAGCGUUAAUCGGAAUUACUGGGCGUAAAGCGUGCGCAGGCGGUUAUUUAAGUCAGGUGUGAAAGCCCUGGGCUUAACCUAGGAAUUGCGCUUGAGACUGGAUAGCUUGGAGUGCGGCAGAGGGAGGUGGAAUUCCACGUGUAGCAGUGAAAUGCGUAGAGAUGUGGAGGAACACCAGUGGCGAAGGCGGCCCGCUGGGCAGUGGCUGACGCUGAGGCGCGACAGCGUGGGGAGCAAACAGG